GAAGCAGCCACCAUUUAAAGAAAGCGUAAUAGCUCACUAGUCAAGCGAUUCUGCGCCGAAAACGUAUGGGGCUAAGCAUGAUACCGAAAUCGUAGGAUCAACGUUAAAAAUUGAUCGGUAGGGGAGCGUUGUGUUGUAGGUCGAAGUAAGAGCGUAAGCACUUAUGGACGAAGCACAAGUGAGACUGUCGGCUUAAGUAGCGAAAACAUUGGUGAGAAUCCAAUGCACCGAAAG
rnacentral:rRNA from 1 species